GGAGAAUUUCCUGCGGAAUUCAGUGUACUUAUUGAAACGAUGAAAAAAUAAACUGCUUAGAAACAUGGACACUAUUUGAAUACGAAAAUAGUGAGUGGCGGCCGGAAUCACGCUUUGGUUAAUGGUGCGCAUAGCCACUCCGGCUAACUGCGAUUCUGUAGUUUUCUCUAAAGCGGUCUCCAAGUAUACUUCUUAGAAAAACAAGACAAGCUCAAGCAAAAAUCUAUAUAAAGGAUUUUCCAAUAAGAAAACAAAAAAAUUCUUUAUUCUUGUGAAAGAUCAUUGGAUGCCAUUAUGUAUGGAACUCGAUUUCUUUUGCAUGGCCACCACGGGUACGCAUGUAGAAGUCCAGACGCUGAACCCAAUUUUCGACGGUUUUCAAGCAUACAUUGGCCGAUACUGCUGCAAUUUCACGUUCAUCAAUCGUCGCUCUGUUGUUGGCAUAGGCCCACACCCCUGACGUAGCCCCACAGGAAAUUGUCAAAUGGCGUCAAAUCGCACGACCGAGGCGGCCAAUUGACUGGGCCAUUUCGUGAGAUAACCACCAAACUUGGUUUCCAAUAAAUCGAUUGUGACAUUCGCUGUGUGGCGCCUGUUGGAACCAAAUAUCCAAGUCCAUAUCAUCCAAUUCGGGUCAAAAAUAUUUGGUUAUCCAAGAUAACCUUAAUAGCGGUAGCGAUUCCCAUUCACUGUAACGUGCCGGUCUUGAUCAUCACGUUAGAAGUACGGCCCAAUGCCGACCCAUUAACAGCAACAAACCGUAAUUUUUUCGGGAUGGAAUGGUGACUCAAGGAAUAUGUGUGGAUUGCUGCCUGACCAAUAGGGCAUAUUUUGCUUAUUGACGAAAUCUAGCACUAGCACGGGAACAUUUUGUACUGUGGCUGUGGAUUCAAAUUCCUUUCUUUCCAUACCAUAAAUUGGACGUAGCGCUCUUAAAGUUGAGGCCACUGAAUCCAAAUUUCGGUGGUAAAUUUUAAUAAUUCCGACUCGUUUUUGGAUCGUAUAUCUUUCCAUGAUGAAAUGGCAAACCUUACUGAAGAGAAAUGUCAAAAUAGCGGAAAAAAUAUGUUGUCGUUUGCUGUCCCUAUCGGUGUACUUCUGUAGCGCUCUAUUGAAAAAGCCUAUACUAGAUGCUUAACCCAGAUGCUUAUUUCAAUUUAGUUUGGUCCAUAAUUUUACCAAAUACAGGGUCCUCUUUCUUGCGACUUCGCGGUGAUUAACACAAAUUGUCAGAUCAUUCGUCGAAUGAAUAGAGCUUACUUCUGUAAUAUAUAUUGUAAUAAAUCUCUGGAUUUUGGCAAAUCCAGGUUUUGUAAAGACUUUGAGCUUGGCGCUUUUUUUAUGGAAGAAUAAAUAAUUUCCCGUGAAAGUUUCGAGACUGUUCGUUGGCAAUAAUUUGGUAAUAGAAACAGACGAUGAAAUAAUGCUUCGAAGGCUGAAAAUUCUGGAAAUGGUUAAGGCUGUAGAUCUUACCAAAAAUAAUCUUAUGCAAUCCCAAGGAGAUCAGAAGGCAUGAUCAGAAUGGAUCUCUCGGCGUGAAUUCUAAAUUAUUGUAUAGUUUAGAUUUAUUUUGGAAUAUAAGACAAAACUGGAUUAACUAAAUAUGAUGGGAUGGAUCAAAACAAAAAAAUUUGAGAAUGAAACGAAAGCCGAAGAUGUAUAUUAUAAAUGCAACUCUAUUCAAAGCUUUCGGUAAGCGGCUUGUAGUUUUGACCAAAAAACACUGUAUUUUUGUUGCAUUACACAAAAUUUAGUAAAUAUUUUGCAGCACGAGCCAUCGCUAAAACUAAGAUCAACAACAUUUUCAUACUCCAAUAACUUCUGCUAGCGACUCAACGCCUGUCAUAUGACUGUGAAAUGUUCGUGGAGUGUGACAUUUGUGAUAUUCAUGCUAAACUUUUCCAAACCGCUUUGAGAACAGCAAUGAUAUAGAUGUUGCGCGGUUGUGGACAGAAUGACAGGAAGGCAAACAGACAAAUAGGCCGGGGAAAACGGCGGCAAUACAAUGAGUGAGGUAUGGAAGAUGUGACUUAGAGGUGUGUCAUAUUUAUGUAGGGACGCUGUUGUGUCUCUCGGCAUAGGAGGCCUAGCUGGAUGUUUUGCUUUGCGAGCCAAAAGGGAAACAGAAGUUGGAGCUAAAUAAUAUUUGUGUUUUGUAAGUGUGCCGCUGGAUAGGAGUAUCAUUCCUCAAAGUUUUUGCAAUCAAUGUUGCUAUUGUUUUUACUAUUGCAAUUGCAAUUCCGGUACGUUCUAUUGUUUUCAAUGCAACAGCGAAGGUUUGAUUGUUGUUGACAAACGCUUUUAUUGCUCUCUUUGGUUUUUCGAUUGUUUGUGCUUUUAUUUUGGUCUCUUUGUGGUUUGUUUCUCUUGUGUUAUUUGCUUUGCCUGUCAGCGGGCCGUGUGCAAAUCAUAACUCUUUUCAUCUGUCAACCAAAAAUAUGAGUUUAUAUAACAGUUUGUGGUUGUUGCCCUCAAGCUUUUUCAGGUUAAAUAGAAUUUCCAAAACAAAACUCUUUAGAAUUGUUACAAAUAUCCACAAAGUAGAUAUUGUUAAAGCUGAGAGUGAAUAUUUUCAUUUUAGUUUGCAAUAUUUUUGAGUUAUUAAGUCUCUUUGUUAUCUUUUUUCCUAAUUUGUUCAACAAGUAUUUGAAAAUUUGAUAAUCCGAAUAUAAGGUAUAUAGGAGCGAGGGGAAGUUAUGACCCAAUUUUAACCAUUUUUGGUGCAGAGACACAUUAUUAAAUUCCUUCUAAACUGAAUUAAAAUAUCUGAGAGAUUUACCAAUAUUUUCGAUGAGAAAUUAACCUUAGUCACUAAGUUCUUCAUGUUCGAUAUCCGGGGUCUUGAAAAGUUAUAGUCCGAUUUCGACAAUUUGACACAAUUGAUGCCACAUAUCAUAUGCAGUAUUUGUGUACAUGUUUUUCCGAUAUCUUCAUUGGUUCUUAAUGUAUAUAUCAUAAAGGGAUGGAAUCAGAUGGAAUACAAAAUCAGUUAUAUAGGAAGUAUGUGUGGUUGUGAACCGAUUUCGCUCAUUUUCACCGAAUUUCAUUACAAUCGUUCGAGAAAUUUCAGAGAUAUGGUUAUGACCCGUUUUCCAUUUGUUUUUUUUUUUUUAUUUGAGCGCAGCUCUCCUCUGCCAUUUCCUCUUUUAAUCUAACUCACUGUAAAAUUUAGUGUUUCUGACAUUUUUUAGUAAGUUAACGCACUUUUAGUAAAUUUCAACAUAAACUAUGUGUGGAGGUGGGCGUGGUUAUAAUCUGAUUUCUUCCAUUUUUAGACUGUAUAAGAAAGUAGCCAAAAGAAACGACUGCAGAAAGUUUGGUUUAUAUAGCUCUAUUGGUUUGCGAGAUAUAUACGAAAAACCUUUUUCGGGGCAAGGCCACGCCCACUUCCCAAAAAAUUAAUCCAAUUAUGCCCCUUCCUAGUGCGAACUUUUGUACCAAAUUUUACUUGUAUAACUUUAACGUCAUUUUGUGGUCGUGGCAGUGGUCCGAUUUCAUCAUUUUUCAAGAGCGAUCCUUUCAAAGUCCCAAGGAAGAUGUGUACCAAGUUUCGUCAGGAUAUCUUAGUUUUUCUUCAAGUUACCCGUUGCACGGAUGGACAAGCAGACAUUCGGAUUUUUGUCUCAUUUUUUCACCCUGAUCGUUUUGAUAUACAUAUAUAAAUAACCCUUUAUCUAACUCGUUUAGUUUUAUGACUCACAAACAACCGUUAUGUGAACAAUGCUUAACAACUUUGUUGCGAGAGAGACAUUCCUGGUCCCAAUGCAUAAUUUCUCUCCGCAGGUCGCAUAAAUAAUAGCAAAAACCUUCAGAUCCUUUCAAGUUGAAAAAUUUUCAGCUGAAGAAGCCAGAUGAAGUGGAUAACGAGUUGGUGUGUGGAGGAAAUUGCUCGAGCAAACUCUUUUAGAAAUCAUAGAAAUAAACGGAAAUUCUUGAGAGAGCAACAGUGCAAAGCAAUGAAUCAACUUUUUACCGAUAUUCGAACGACCGGCCGACGAUAUGAGCAGACGCACAGAGAUUGCUUUGCGCUUUAAAACAAUGCAAAAUGUCCCAAUGCAAUCAAGCACAGACAACAGGAGUAGCGGUAACUUCAGCAGCAGGCAAAUCAAAUGCCAAAGCUUCAACAAUAAAACAACAGCAGGAGUAAAAAAUUGCGGCAGCUCAACAUCUCCUGAACGGCAGAGGUUUACCAUCUCAGAUUCACAGCUUCAGCUCGGUGUAACUGUUUCCGCAACACUUUGCCCGCAUAGAGUUCCGCCUUACUUGUUAAUGCAAGCACUGUUUUAGUCAGGUCGCCUUCAGUUCGCGAAAGAGUUUGCAACUCAUUUCGUUUUCAAAUUCCGCCGAGAGCGUACAUUGAAGCCGCGAUGCAAUUAAAGUCCAUAAAGUAGAAAAUAGUAAUGGGAAAUGGAAAACGGAAAACGGAAAGCGAAAAUUACCCACCACUACAAGUCACAAAAACAUGGACUUGGCGCAAGUAUUUGCAAAGACACAAUAUAUUUCGAAGAUAAAACAAAAGAAGGUAGCGGUGAGCGAUGUGAAGGGUUUCUGCGGUUGAAGGUGAAAAUUUUACGAAUUUUCUGCGGUACAACGUCGUGAAACUGACGCACGGCAGCGUUCAAGAGAAACAAGCAUGACAUUCAUUACUUUGUUGUUUGUAAGUUCUGUUUUUUGUCUUGUUUGAUUUUAAAUGGUUUUCGUGGAAUUAAAUGGUGGGGCCUUAAGGUAUUGGAAAUGUGAACCACUGCUGCAAUAUUGGGUAAUUUUUUUUAGAAGUGUCAAAGAUUGAACGGUCUCUUGGUUCGAUUGUUUUUUUCUAAACGAUUUUAACUAUCUUGGAAUGCCUAAGGCAGAAUUUAUAAAUCUAUGAGAAGAGAUCGGCCUUUUAAAGUAAAAAACUAUAGCAAACACAGCUAUAAGUUGCAUUCCUCCUCACUAUCA